GGUUUGGUCCUAGCCUUGCAGUCAGUUAUUACUUAAUAUACACAUGCAAGUAUCCGCCCCCCUGUGAAAACGCCCUUUAAUCCCCUCUAGGGACAAGGAGCUGGUAUCAGGCACGAAAAUCUGCCCAAGACACCUAGCUAUGCCACACCCACAAGGGAAUUCAGCAGUGAUUAACAUUGAGCAUUAGCGCAAGCUUGACUCAGUUAAAGUAAGAUAGAGCCGGCUAAUCUGGUGCCAGCCGCCGCGGUUACACCAUGUGGCUCAAAUUGACCCCUUCCGGCGUAAAGCGUGAUUAAAGUUAUUUAUUAAUAGAGUUAAACUGAAACUAAGCUGUGACACGCCUGUUUAUCAAGAAACCCAAAAACGAAAGUUACUCUAACUUAAUCAACUUGACUUCACGACAGCUGG
rnacentral:rRNA from 1 species